rnacentral:rRNA from 1 species
UACGAAGGGGGCGAGCGUUGUUCGGAUUUACUGGGCGUAAAGGGCGCGCAGGCGGCUCAUUUUGUCAGGCGUGAAAGCCCCGGGCUUAACCUGGGAACUGCGUUUGAUACGGAUGGGCUAGAGUUCGGGAGAGGAGAGUGGAAUUCCCAGUGUAGAGGUGAAAUUCGUAGAUAUUGGGAAGAACACCGGUGGCGAAGGCGGCUCUCUGGACACAUAUUGACGCUGAGGUGCGAAAGCGUGGGGAGCAAACAGG